rnacentral:rRNA from 1 species
CUACGGGACGCUGCAGUGGGGAAUAUUGGACAAUGGGGGAAACCCUGAUCCAGCAAUGCCGCGUGUGUGAAGAAGGCCUGCGGGUUGUAAAGCACUUUCGGUUGGGAGGACUGCUUCUAGCACUAAUAUUGUUGGAAGUUGACGUUACCUUCAGAAGAAGCACCGGCUAACUCCGUGCCAGCAGGCCGCGGUAAUACGGAGGGUGCAAGCGUUAAUCGGAAUUACUGGGCGUAAAGCGCGCGUAGGCGGCUAGAUCAGUCGGGUGUGAAAGCCCCGGGCUUAACCUGGGAACUGCAUCCGAUACUGUCUAGCUUGAGUACAGGAGAGGAGAGUGGAAUUCCACAUGUAGCGGUGAAACGCGUAGAUAUGUGGAGGAACACCAAUGGCGAAGGCAGCUCUCUGGCCUGAUACUGACGCUGAGGUGCGAAAGCGUGGGGAGCAAACAGGAUUAGAUACCCGUGUAGUC